rnacentral:rRNA from 1 species
AUUGAACGCUGGCGGCAGGCCUAACACAUGCAAGUCGAGCGGAUGAAGGGAGCUUGCUCCUGGAUUCAGCGGCGGACGGGUGAGUAAUGCCUAGGAAUCUGCCUGGUAGUGGGGGAUAACGUCCGGAAACGGGCGCUAAUACCGCAUACGUCCUGAGGGAGAAAGUGGGGGAUCUUCGGACCUCACGCUAUCAGAUGAGCCUAGGUCGGAUUAGCUAGUUGGUGGGGUAAAGGCCUACCAAGGCGACGAUCCGUAACUGGUCUGAGAGGAUGAUCAGUCACACUGGAACUGAGACACGGUCCAGACUCCUACGGGAGGCAGCAGUGGGGAAUAUUGGACAAUGGGCGAAAGCCUUAUCCAGCCAUGCCGGGUGGGUGAAGAAGGUCUUCGGAUUGGAAAGCACUUUAAGUUGGGAGGAAGGGCAGUAAGUUAAUACCUUGCUGUUUUGACGUUACCAACAGAAUAAGCACCGGCUAACUUCGUG